rnacentral:lncRNA from 1 species
CUUAGAACCAUACCAGCAGCCACAGAACCGUCGUCCUUCUGGAAGGAACCAUCAAAAGAAAGGGCCACAGGCCCAGCCGCCAGGGCCGGCCAUGGAUAUGCGGGGGAUCUGUCAACUCUCGCCGCGGAGGUAACAUCUAUGGUAGAUAUCUUGCCUUUUAAAAUUUUAUCAGUUGAGAACCUUCCGGCUAGUUUGAUUGACUUGUAGUAAUUGUUCAAGAACUCAACGUUAGCAAGAACUGGCGGACUAUCCUUUCCAUGUAGCAAGUCACUACGCAAGUGCCAAAUCCUCCACACCAUCAUAAUUAGCAUGUUUCUAACAUCUCCAGAGCACUUGCUCAGUAAGGUCAAAAGCCAUUCCUUUCCAGUAUCAAGUAGCAUAUCAUCAGCUGGUAGUGGCCACCGUCGACGCAUAUUCACCCAAAGGAUUCUAGCAUGCAUACACGCUACCAGCGCAUGGUAUGUGCCUUCCUCCUCCAGACCACAAAGAGGGCAUGUCGAUCUAGUCGAUAAGUGUCAGACUUCCAGAUAAGAUUCCACAGGGAACGUUCCCCGUCCGGGUUAGUAUUGGAGACGCCAUUAGCAAAGGCAGCAUUGUGUUCCUGGGCAGCAAGCCUGUAAGCACUUUUCACCGUAAACACUCUGCUCUUCUCUGGAAACCAAGAAAGAAAAUCAUCACGUUGGCGAGGGGAGGUUUUUUAUGUGUAUGUGUAAAUUUGCUUGUUUUUGACGGUCAUCUAAAGAAAAUAUGUUCAUGCUAUUUUUCUUUUUCUUUUUAUGUGUGUUUAUUUCUGUUUCUUUGUCUUGAGUUGGUUUUUUAUGUGUAUUGUGUAAAUUUGCAUGCGUAUAUGUAUGUAUCAUAUAAUAUGUCUGUAAAUUAUAUUGGGGUGUGAAAUUUACGCUAUUAUGUAUAUUUAUUUGUUUUAAUAUUAUUUUUUUAUUUUAUAUCAUAUUAAGGGUAAUACCAAUGCCACUAAUUCAUUCUUCCUUAGAUACUUCAUCUUUUACGAAACUUACACUAUUAUAUGCUUGUUCUUGCAUAUUAUGAAAAAGUAUAAUUCUUUACAAAUUGUGUGCAAUUUUGUCAUUAUUUCUUUUAGUUUUUCAUUUUCUUUCUUCUUUAAGUGUAAUACCUAGCGCCACCAAUUCAUUCUUUCUUAGAAAAAGAUUAUUUUAGUUUUUAUUUCUAUUUUAGUGUUGAUUUUGUUUUAGUUUUUAUUUCUUCUUCUUAAAGGGUAAUACCAUUGGCACCAAUCCAUUCUUUCUUACAAAACUUUAUGGUUUUGAAUUUGUUUUAGUUUUAUCUUAUUUUCUUUUGUUUUACUUAACUUUCUUUCUUGUUCAAAGGUAUUACCAUUGCCACUAAUUUAUUCCUUAUUCGAAAACUUCAUUAUUUUGAUUUCAUUUUGGUUUUAUUUCAUUUCUUUCUUGUUAAGCGUAAAACCAGUGCCACUAAUUCAUUCAUUCUUAGGGCACUUCUUUUUUGCAAAAUUUCCACUAUUAUAUGAGUAUUGUCGCAUAUUAUAGAAAAUCGCAAUUUCUGUAUAGAAUAGGUGCAAAUUUUGUCAUUAUUUGUUUUAUUUUUUUCCAUAAAUAUUGUCAUUGCUUGUUUUAGUUUUUAUUUUUUUUCUAAAAGGGUAAUACCAUGCCACUAAUUCAUUCUUCCCUAGAAAACUUCAUUUUUUUGGUUUUGUUCUAUUUUCUUAGUAUUAGUAUAAGGGGAAUAAAAAGGUUAACAAAGAAGAAGAAAGCUGGGCCUUUUGAUAUAGAUCAGGUGGUGGACAGUGGUGGAGACGAUUUGAAUGAAUGUCAAAAAAAUAGGCGCCUAUCAAAUAAUAGCCCGCAUAACAUGAUAUAUACUCACUUAAUGUUUAUGCAAUGUGUGCGAUUCUUACCACUGUGUAAAAAUUGCACCACUAUAUGCUUAUUUUUUCAUAUUAUGAAACAAUGCAAUUUCUAUGUCAAUCAUGUGUAAUUUUCUGUCAUUGUUUGCUACAUACGGUUUUGCAUUUCCUUUCUUCUUUUGCCCAAUGCAGUACCAUGCCACUAACCACGGCCAGCCGGAGCUGCUAGCUAGCUAGCUCACGCACGGACGCAACCGGAGCUAGCUAGCUCACGCAUGGAAGCGGCCAACCAGAGCUAGCUAGCUCACGCAUGGAGGCGGCCGAGCUAACUCAUGCGCGCACGCACACUGCACACAACACACCACGUCACACUCUGCAUGCAGAGGAAAAAGUGACUGAUCCAUCAUCCAUAUCACAAAGUCAGUCGACUGAUCAGUAGUCUGUCCUUUUUUUUUAGACAGAGUUGGUGAUUUCAAUUUUUAAGGCAAUGGUGGGGAACAUAUGGCUUUUUUUUGGCGAGCCUAUGUCUCGUAUUCAGCCGGGAACACCUUGAAGGCUGUGCCAGUUGGGCUAGCCCAGGCGCGUGGGAAACAAUAGCCCCGUUUUCCAUUUCGUUUUUUAUCACGUUUUUUAAAUAAAUAUAUUAUAAAAAUAACUCUACAUAAAUAAAUUGAGAAAUGUUGACCAAACAUUUAAAAAUGUUAAAUGUGUAUAGGAAAAAUGUUUAUCAUGUAUACAAAAAAUAUACAUAGAUAAUUGUGUAUGAAACAGUUAGAUCACGUAUUUAAAAGAAGUUAACCAAACAUUUGAAAAAAUGUUGAACAAGUGUUUGAAAAAUGUUAAGCAAGCAUUUGAAAUAUGUUAAAUAUGUGUAGAAAUAUGUUGACCAUGUAUUAAUAAAAUGAUGAAAAUAACUUGACCAAGUAUAUAAAAAUGUGAAUCAAGCAUUUGAAAAAAUAUUGAAGACGGUUUUGAAAAAUGUUAAUCAAACAUUACAAAAAUGUCAAAUGUGUUUAGAAAAAUGUUGACCAUGUACUCAAAAAUUGAUGAUUUUUUUAUCAUGUAUAUAAAAUAAUCAAGAUUUUUUUUAAAAUGUUGAACAAGUGUUUAAAAUAUAUUAAUGAAUUAUUUCUUAAAUGUGUUUAGAAAACAUGUUGAAGUGUGCUUAAAAAUGAUAAAGCAGCAUUAAAAAUGUUAAUAAAGCAUUUUAAAAAUGUGAAAAUGUGCAUAAAAAUGUUGAUCAUGUAUUAGAAAAAUGUUAAUCUUGUAUCUGAAAAAAGAUAAUCAGGCAUUUGAUUUUAUUUUAAAAGUGUGUAAAUAAAAACUUUUGACCAUGUAGUAAAAAUAUCAUUUUGUAUUUUAAAAAUGUUAAUCAAGCAUUUGAAAAAUGUAUAUGUAAAAAACAUGCAUUAAAAAUGUUAAAUUUGUAUUGGAAAAUGUCAAGCAUGUAUUAGAAAAAUGUUGUUGACAUAUUAAAAAAAUGGGGAAUGAAAACUAAAAGAAACAAAGAAAACAAAAUAAAUGAAAACCAAAAAGAAACAAAAUAAACCAAAGAAAAUAGAAAAUGAAAAAUAAAACCGAAGAAACAAAUGAGUAGGAAAAGUCAAAAAUCGAUAAAGAAAGAAAGAAGAAUAAAAAAUGUUGAAAAGCAAGAAAGAAGAAGGAAAAUGAGUAAGAAAAUAAAAACCGAGAAAACUAUGAAAGAAAAAAAGAAAAACCAAAAGAAAAACAGAAAAUAAAAGAACCGAGAAGAAAAAGGAAAGCCAAGCAAAUAAUAAAAGGAAAAGGAUAAAGGAAAAAAUGGAGAAGACCGAAUAAAAAUGAAGAAAAAAUAAAAAAAUGGGGAAAACCGAGAAAAAAAUAUCAUGGAAACCUGGGCAAUCUUACGUCAAGUAGAACGCGCCCUAUGUCUUCAUCUACAUCCCAAAGCUUCCCUCGUGGCUAGCACUGUUGCAAAUCUUCCAGGAUGCCAAGGUUGGAAUCACCCCGCGCUCCUUUUUCUAAGUUGUUUUCUUUAAGCGUGCGGGAGUGGGCCGGCACGUUACUAUAGACUCUUGCAGCGAGAGUUGUUUCAGUCUUGUUUGAUGCGAGAUAUGGCACUUGCGGUUUUUUAGGUGUCGGGGAACAUCUGGGCUAUGCUCUUCAUGUGUGACAUCUUCAUGUGUGACAUGCUCUUCAUGUCUGAUAUGGCUCGGAAGAGGGUAUCAAUGUCACACAUGAAGAGCAUAGCCCACAUAUGGAACUCAGACACCGUUUUUUUGUGUUUUUGAAAAUAAAUUAAGGUUUUUGCUCGACCGUUGGAUAAGUUCUUGAUUUGCCAGUUGGUAUGGUCUAUGGACUAGAGGGUAUCAAUGCGAUCAUUGUGUUUUCAAAUAAGUAAUGAGUAAAUUAGAAAGCUUAAAACAAUCCCGGGUAGAGUCUUUGUUUAGUUUGUGCUGAGAACUAAUAUAUUGAUCAUCAACAACUUUUAAGAGAGAAGAGGGUGGGUGGGAACUAAGUGUUAGUUUUGUGAUGAAAGGGAGAUCUCGAAUCACAUGUUUUUGCACUGUGCUGAGGCAAGUUCUGGCUGAAAUAUAGCAAGGUGUGUGUUUCGCGUGGAUAUGAAGAUAAGACUUACAUAUGAAUUUGGUGCGUGAUUUUUAGGGAACCAUGAGGGAUUUCUCUCUCGUCUCUUCUACACAUUUAUGUUUUUUCAAAGUUCAUAGAAAGAGCUACAAAUAGCAUAAAAGGAGUCGGAAGAGAAAAAGGAAGAGGAUAAAAUAGUCAACGAAAAGCCUUUGGCCAAUCUUCAUAUUUGGACAUUUCCUUUUGUUGGCUCUAUGAAUGAGAAGAAUGACUUCCUUAUUGUGCAGAGGCUUGCGGAAUAGACUUAAAGAUAUAGUCAUUACUAAUUAUCGAAAUGACCCAAGCGACAAGAAUAAUGAGCUUCACACCAAAGCUGGCUUUCAGAAAACCAUUUAAAGCAUUUAUCUAGUUCUAAACCGAGUCUCGCAAAUGUGUACACUUGGGACACAAGUAUUGCCAACAAGCAAUGUCAAAAUGGCACUGGAAGAAUUGGUGGUCUCUUGUUUUAACGAAAAAUCUUCCACAAAGCACACAUGUGUAUUCGGGCUAGUGGAAGUUCUUUCUCUACAUCAUCUCUCUUGUGUUUAGUUGAUCAUGCAACUAAAGUCAGAAGAGAUUUUGUGUUUUUUGGGAUAGUAAGUUUGCCAAUCCACCUUAAUGCAAGGAUAUCAUCAUGGGUUGCUAACAUGUUAUUGUACAUACAGGAGGCACAAUAACCGGAUGAUAUUUGGUGCCAUAUCCAAAUGUCAGGCUCAGUGGCAGAAACACGAUCCAUGAUUAAUUGGUCCAGAAGUGUCAAUUAUGUAGAAAGUGAAUGGUGGAACAAAUAUGGGGAGUGAUCAAUGUGCAAUACAAUACAAGAUACAAGUACUACCCGCAAGCAAUGGCAAAAGGGCAUUGGAAGAAUUGGUGUCUUUUGUUUUAACAAAAGUUCUUCCACAAAGCAAACAUGUCUGUUCAGGUUAGUGGAAGUUUUUUCUCUACAUCAUCUCUCUUGUGCUUAGUCGAUCAUGCAACUAAAGUUGGAAGAGAUUUUGUGUUUUUUGGGAUAGUAAGUUUGUCAAUCCACCUUAAUAUGCAAGGAUAUCAUCAUGGGUUGCUAACAUGUUUUUGUACAUAUAAGAGGCACAAUAACCAUAUGAUAUUUGCUGCCAUAUCCAAAUGUCAGGCUCAGUGGCAGAAACAUGAUCCAUGAUUAACUGGUCCAGUAGUGUCAGUUCUGUAGAAAGAGGAAGGUGGAACCUCACUACAUCGGGGUCAUUUACAAUAGACUCUAUGUACCAUGCACACACGCAUUCUGAGGUACCGGUGAGUAAUAACAAGAAAAUCUGAAAGUCGAAGAUUCCACUAAAAGUUAAAAUCUUCAUGUGGUAUCUUCAUAGGGGUGUUGUUCUAACCAAAGGCAACCUUGCACGGCGCAACUAGCAAGGGAGUAGUGUUGUCUUUGUACUCAUGAAGAGACAAACGAAAACCACUUUUUUCAAUGCAAGUUUGCACGUUCUAUGUGGUCAGCCAUCCAAAUAGCAUCAAAUUUGUAUCUGCCCACAUGUGUCACCAAUAUUUUUGGUCAUUGAUUGGACGGUAUUACAAAUAGAUUUAAAAUGCUAAUAUGGGUGGGAGCAUAUGCCUUACUAUGGUCGCUUUGGCUAUGUAGAAAUGAUUUGAUUUUCAAUGAUAAAAAUGCUUCUCCUUUGCAGCUUAUUUUCCGUUGUACGCAUUCGCUUCGUACGUGGUCUACGCUACAACAAGGGGAGUAUCAACCGAUGUUUAAGGCGGUGUGUAUGCGGUUGGAGCAGGUGGCUACGGUGGUUUUUGCCCAACAUGGAUGGAGGCAUAAUCUCCGGAUUGGUCCACCAUCCGUUUCGACAUAGGCAUAGUGUCGGUCUUUAGGACUCUACUGUCGCUGAUUGUCGAUUUUUUUCUUUCUUUUUGUCAGACUUUAGGUGUUUGGUUGUGUGCAUCCUUGUUAUGCAGAGACCGAGUGUUACUCAUAAUGCUUUGUAUCCACUUGAUGCUACAUUUUGAUUUAAUAAAAGCACCC